CAAAACACAAACUGGAUGAUGUCACUGUAACCACCACAGUGACAGGAAGUGUUUUUAAAUGAUGAAACACUGAAAUGAUGCUGACGGCUGUCGUUAGCCUCACUGGUAGCAGUGCUGAUGUGUUCAUGUCAAACAGUGGCUCAGGUCAGACUCCUUCAUCCUUCUCCAGCGUGAGGCUGCCCUCAGACCCACAGGAGCUCUGACCUUUGACCUCCUGUGACCUUUAAAAAACAUUGUUGUUAUUUGAAGCUUUUGAUGUCCACAAGCAUCAGACCAGCUGCUUUAGUCUAGAAGUAUCAUAUUUAUUAAAAGUUAGUUAAUAACAAUAGUUAUUAAAGGCUCUUAGAAUUCUGUUUUUAUAUUUUUAUGAGCUCCCAGCUCUGUUUGAGCUGCCAGCUAAAAUAAAAGGAUGAAGCUGUUCUACAAGAACACAUCUGAGCUUAUGUUAAUGUGAUGAACACACAUUUAUGAUCAAAGUCCCUGUACAGUGACAGGGCAGUCAUGUCAUCAGCCCUGUAACGGACACAUCAGUGAUGUUUAUUUCUGGGUUUGAGCUUCAUACCUGGAUCAUGUUAUUUGUGUUGAACGUGUCACUGCAGAGCUGUCAGUAUGUGUGGAACUUGUCUUUAUUCCCUGAUGUAGGAACAUCUUUGACUUGUUUGAACAUUUUGUUCUGAGUUUAAAAUGAUAAAUGUUUGAAUCCAUGAGGAAAGUCAGAGUCUUUUCAGCUGCAGUAACAUGUUGAUGCUGUCCAUCAGCUCAGCUCCACCAAUGACCUUUAGACUGAGGUCACUUCCUGUAACAGAGUCCUUCAAAGGCUGAUGACAUCACAGCGAUCCAAAGGUUCCUACAAACGUGUCCUUCUUCUUCUCUGGGAUCUGAAGCAUCAGGUUAACACGCUCUACUGAGCUCUGGGAGGAGAAUCAGUUUCCCAGUUUCACCAGUUGAGACGCAGAACCUCAGCUGGUCUUUGUAAUCUAUUUGAUGAUGUGACAGCAGGCCCAGCAUGUCCAAAGACUGAUGGCACAACGACUGUGAGCAUGGACGCCGACUUUGGCCUUGGAAGAAAAAGUAUUACUGAGCGCUUGGAUGGAAACAUCAUGUUUGUAAGAGACAAAGAUGUAGAAGAAUAUCUGCUGUCACAUCCUGAUAGCUGGAAACCAGCUGAGCUGAGGAAAUGUUGAAGGAAACUUCGUGUCACUGCUCCAUCACUAGUGAGAUUCCGUUCCCAGAUGGAAGAGGAAUUAUGUCAUGAAACUGGUUAAACUCAACCAGCUCAGCAAACAGAGAGUGCUCUUCAAACAGCUGACAGACACGACCACAUUACAAGAAGAUGGUGUCAGUCCAAUUUGAUUUUCCAGUUAACGCUGAGAGACCUUGAUCAGGAAGUCAGAGGUCAACUGAUGCUACGAGCAGGAAAGGAUCGCUCUACUCAAUGUCAAAAGAAAACAUCCUGGGAAGCUGUGGUUGCUUCUUAGACUAUCAUGACCUGGAUGACUGAGAACCUACGCAGACACGUUCUGAGGGAAGGACUCCACAC